ACAGAAAUUCAAUCCCCCGCCAUCUACACAGUACAAUGGUGAAGUAUCUAUCCGCGUAAAGGCCAUGCAGGCGGGUAUAUUCUCCAAUAUUUGGCCAAUCAGGUUUUUUUGUAUAACAUUGCUUUUUCGAAUGUUACAUGUAUUCAUAGUUUUAGAAGUGUACAUAAGUUAGUUUUUCUGGUAGCAGACGAAGUAUUUAAUUUUGCCAUUAAUCUUUUUCAAACAAUUGUGAAGUCAAAAUAUUAUGCAAGUAAAGUUGGUUUGAAUGUUGUUUUACGUUUUUCACUAAAAUAGAGACGUCACCACCUUGAGCGAAAUGCAUCACAUUUUGACCAGGAUGCAUUGGGUUUACGGUCGUAGUUGUGAUGUUUCUCAACCGCGCCAACACUUGCUGUAACACAGGUUGGUAGUGUGGUCGAAGAACAAAGAACACGUUCGUGCGCACAUGUUCUCGUCGUUCGCGACUCUAAGAACGGAGCACGAGAGCAACGGGAACGGCGACCUCGAACGCACUCUGAGUUAGUAUGAAGGGUAGCAGAGUUAGCCAAGGAUUGCCGAUUGCGACCGGUCAAUUUAUAGCAUUAGUGAGAUUCGCGUAUUCGGCUCGGCUGAACAAAUGGACUGACAUCGUCACGGAAUCUCGGAGCGGUCUUUCAAAAUUUGCUUUCAGCUUCGUCCGGUUCUAGCAAUCAAUGUGCACUUAGGUGCUGUUCGCUUAUAGAUUGUAGUUCCCGCGGACUCUUACAAUGUAGGUUGCUGUUGGCUUAAUAUAGAUUGUAGUUCCCGCGGACUCCUACACAGUGUAGUUUUUAUGACUCAGUAAACCCGGAUACUCUCUUUAGAAUUUAAAGAAAGAAUUAAAAAGAUGAAAGGCGAACAUCACUGUCAUGAUCGUGUGCAGGAUUGGACAAAACAAGAUGGCAGACGGCAUUUCCAAACAAAGAUCCAGUCAGGAGCGGACUUCUUAAAGCAUAAAAGCUGCAAGUGAAUGAAGUGUGUUCUAUUUUUUGUCUCCUACUAAAACCAUGGUUUUGACAAACCUAAGAGAGCACGUGGAGCAAGGAACUAUCAGUAAGCCGGAAGAGCCAGCUCGAAAAUCAUUAAGUGUUUGAGAAUUUCACCGCGCACAUGAAUCUAAAAUUCUGCCACACGUUAGAAGGAGCCUUGUUCUCGAAGAUCAACAUGUUGAAAAGUCUUCAUUUUGCAGAAGCAAAUACAUUUAUAUUGUAUAUACACAUGUACCGUAUAAGUUUUACAUGUAGACCAUGUUCGAUUCCCAACCACUUAACAUUUGUGAUAUCUGCAUGGAAUUAUUAAAACUGAGCAUGGUUUGACGUAUAAUAAUCUCUUCAGGCAUGAUGGUUUACAUUUCACAAAGCUGUUCAAUGACAAUAAAGACUAUAAGAUGU